rnacentral:rRNA from 1 species
AUGAACCAAACCGGCGCGGCAAUCUCGCCUGCCGCCGGCAACACCCACCUCGGACCUCUGGGUCAUCUUCCUCCCCCGACCUACCAACCUACCUUACCUACUCACCCCCCAUCUGCUACUCUGCUUGCCCCAACCUCAAUCAUCGACACCAUCACAGAUGUAUCCCCGUUCAUCCCCAUCGUCCUCGACCUGGCGGCGCACAACUACUACCACUGGCGUCAUUUGUUCCUUGUCCACCUCGGGCGCUGCGGCCUCCGCAGCCACAUCGACGGCGACAACCUGGCGGCCUCCUCCGAUCCCGUUUGGAUCAAGGACGACUUCGCCAUUCUGCAGUGGAUUUACACGCGGAUCUCAACGGAGCUGUUCGGCCUCCUCCCCAAGGACGGCGCCACCGCCUUCGUCAUCUGGCGCGAGCUCCAGCGCCUGUUCCAGGACAACCGCGAUGCCCGCAUCAACCACCUGGAGACAGCGAUGCGCACCCUCAAGCAGAGGGACGAGCCCGUCGGCACCUACUGCCAGCGCCUCAAGGCCAUGGCGGAUGAACUGCAUGAGCUCGGCGCUCCGGUGGAUGACCGCCGGCUCAUCUCCGCCACCCUCGCCGGCAUCAGCGAGCGAUUCGACAAGGUCACCUCCGUCAUCCCUCUGCUUCGCCCCGCGCCGCCGUACUCUGAGGUGCUCUCCAUGCUUCAACUCGAGGAGACCAAACUGCGCACCAGGAUGGAGCAACCGCAGGCCUUCUACUCCAACAACGGGCCUUGCAACAGCGGCAACGCCGCCCAAGCUCCGUCCCCGCAACAGCCGGCCGUGCGCCCCACCGGCGUCAGCCCGAACUACAAGGGCAAGAACCCGGUUCCCGGUUUUCAGCACCGGAACGCAUCCAACAACGGGUCGACCUCCACGACGCCAUCGGCUCACGCCUCACCAGCACCGCCUCGUCAACCGGCAGCGACACCGACGGCACCCAUGACUCCGCCAUGGCGUGCCCACACUGAUCCCUGGACCGGCUUGGUUCAGGCCUGGCCUGUCCCAUGGACCCAGGCAACUGCCGUCGCCGCGCCUGGCCCCGUGCCCUGGCAGCUGCCGUCGCCACGACUCGUCGGCGGCCCCGGCCUGCUUGGCCGGCCUCCUGCUCAGGCAUACUACUCCUUCGCGCAGAACCAUCAACCGGCGCCUGCAACAUACCCGGCCUCGCCAUUUGCGCCUCCUGCCUAUGCGGCUGCGCCGAUGCAAGCGCCGAUGUACGCACCUCCCACGACUCCUGCGUCUCCUGCCUGGGACCAAGCGGCCUUGGUCCACGCCUUGAACGCCUAUACCAACCACAAUGAUGGAGGCUGGAUCGUCGACUCUGGAGCAACUGCGCACAUGUCUGGUACGCCUGGAUCUCAAAACCCAGGCCCUGAUCGCACGACAUGA